GCUACAUGUUUUUUAUUGUCCGUUUCCUUCACUGACUGAUUUCUCUCUGCUUCAAGGUUGGUGUGUGCAGGCGCAAACCACCAGAGCUCUCGAGAAGUGCUUGUUGUUGCUGCCCGAAUCGCGUGGAUUCGAGCUUUGCUUCUGAUGGUAUUUGUUGAUUGUGCAGGUCUUCCGCGGAAGAAACACUCUCGAUGCUUCUACAUGGAUAUGCUGCGUUUGGUUCAGCGUAUACGUUGGGGUUACAUGCGUCAGCGAAGAAGAUGAUAUGUCCAGUGCUCUGACCCUGUCCCAAUAGGCGUGCCAUACUCUCCUCACUGGUUCUACCUGGGGGUGGUUUUUUGGUAAAAGAUAUACACCUCCCACCCACAAAGGAGCUCAGCAGCUGAGCUAACAUCAAUCACUAAAUGGGAAUGAAUAGAUGACUGUUAGAUGAUUCCAAUCAAUAAUUGCUUCUGUACUGCCCAACCCCAUCAGAAUACAAACAGCAGAUGCAGGACAUCACUACCAUCUAUGUUGGCCAUCCCACCCGCCUGGGGUUCCUGGUUGGUUUAUUUGUCGAAACCUUAUCAGAAACCUGUAUGCAGAGGACACUCCACACUCUACCAUUGGCAGAAUUCCUAAUGGUGAUUCUUUGGAUGACAAAGAAAAGUCGCAGAUUUUGCCGUCACUCGGUGGCUCUACCUUCUUGUCCCGAAGCUUGUGCUGGCAUGGAGGCGCCAGAAAUAUCUACGAUAUGCUCCACAAAGGGUUGUCGGCACGCACGUCCAUGCUAACAGGACCUUCUGCGUAUAAAAGGCGUUGCUUUCUACCCCCCUUUCCAACUUUCCGUGUUUCCCCCAAAUAUGUAAUAUUAUCUUCAGAACAGCAGCCAUCAUACAUAUAUCCUGAGUGGAUAAGGACGAAGAGUAAGAUAAGUCGGAGAAGUCAACGAGUGAACCAAGCAAACAGUUAGUGGGCUAAUCCUGCUCAGUUGGAGACAAGCAUAGGCGUGAAAGAGACGCAUUCAAUGGACUGUCCGAUACCCCACCCGAUUGUUUUCAAGGGUAAAUUCUCCAAAUGAGAAUCUCGCACAGUAUCAUUAUUUUCAAAAUUUUCUAAAAAUUCUUUUAAUAAAAAAUAUUUUUACCCUCC